rnacentral:rRNA from 1 species
UACGUAAAAUGCAAGCGUUAAUCGGAAUUACUGGGCGUAAAGCGUGCGCAGGCGGUUGUGUAAGACAGAUGUGAAAUCCCCGGGCUCAACCUAAAAACUGCAUUUGUGACUGCACAGCUGGAGUGCGGCAGAGGGGGAUGGAAUUCCGCGUGUAGCAGUGAAAUGCGUAGAGAUGUGGAGGAACACCGAUGGCGAAGGCAGCCCCCUGGGCCAACACUGACGCUCAGGCACGAAAGCGUGGGGAGCAAACAGG